GAUGAAGAACGUAGUGAAAUGCGAUAAGUAAUGUGAAUUGCAGAAUUCAGUGAAUCAUCGAAUCUUUGAACGCACAUUGUGCCCGCCAGCAUUCUGGCGGGCAUGCCUGUUCGAGCGUCAUUUCAACCCUCGAGCCCCCCCGGGGGCCUCGGUGUUGGGGGACGGCACACCAGCCGCCCCCGAAAUGCAGUGGCGACCCCGCCGCAGCCUCCCCUGCGUAGUAGCACACACCUCGCACCGGAGCGCGGAGGCGGUCACGCCGUAAAACGCCCAACUUUCUUAGAGUUGACCUCGGAUCAGGUAGGAAUACCCGCUGAACUUAAGCAUAUCAAUAAGCGGAGGA
rnacentral:misc_RNA from 1 species